UUUUUAGAAGGAGUUUGUUGUAUCUUGAGCAAUGCUUUAAUAAUGGCUCAGCCUGUAGGCAAAUCGGUUCUAAUGGAUAACAGAUUUAUUACACGGACGUUCAUCUGUUAGUCCCGAAUGAAUAUGCUGGAAAUUCCUGAUGGUUUGGGAUUUGUUACAAGGUAUCUUGAUUUACACGAAGCAGCCAAUAUAAUGAAAUACACUUUGAGUAUUCUAUCAGAAUGUCGAAAA